rnacentral:rRNA from 1 species
UACGAAGGGGGCUAGCGUUGCUCGGAAUGACUGGGCGUAAAGGGCGCGUAGGCGGAUGGCACAGUCAGAUGUGAAAUUCCCGGGCUUAACCUGGGGGCUGCAUUUGAUACGUGUGAUCUAGAGUGAGGAAGAGGGUCGUGGAAUUCCCAGUGUAGAGGUGAAAUUCGUAGAUAUUGGGAAGAACACCGGUGGCGAAGGCGGCGAUCUGGGUCGAUACUGACGCUGAGGUGCGAAAGCGUGGGGAGCAAACAGG